rnacentral:lncRNA from 1 species
ACUUACUCAUCCUUCUUUGGCUCUUUUUCAUUCAGGCGCAAUCCCAUUAAGCCCGUUAUCUCCACACAUCCAUAGCAAGGCGACCGGUUAGUGGCUCUGAUCCUUUUUACACGGGAUUCUAGUACCUACGUGGCAUAACCCUUUGCUUACUCAAUUGUAGUUGCGGGGGAUCAGACCGUAAUCCGCCCUACCAAGUUCAGCACCAGAAACCGCUG